rnacentral:lncRNA from 1 species
CUGUUGUGGGGGGUGGGGGGAGCCUGUCCUGUGCCCUAUAGGAGCCCCCUACCCAUUAGAUGCCAGUAGCACCUCCCCCCCAUCAUGGCAACCCAAAAUGUCCCCACAUAUUACAGAUGUCCCCUGGGGGACAACCCUGCUUUGGGUAAGAGGGAAUGGCCCAAAUGGGUCUUGUCUCUGAGCAGGGAGGCCAGGAGGGGAGGGGGUCAGUAUUUCUGAGCUGGGCCGCGCCCCCGCGGGGAGGGCCUGUAAGCAUCUAAGGAGGGGCUGCUUCGAAGCGGGGCCGGGGCGUCUCCCCGGCUGUUCGUCUCCCUGCCACUUCCAGAUGCUGCUCUGUGCCGGGUGCUGGUCCCCAGCGUUGCCUCCGCUCAGCACCCAGCAGCCCCACAAGGGUGUCAACAGAGCAUCAGGAGGCACUGACCCCAGAGCCCCUCCACGUCCCCGGGAACGGCCGGCCCCCCGUCGCCGCCGAGGGCCCUCGACCAGGAUGGACAGCCAGGGGAAGGCUGCUUGUCUCCACGCCUCUCCGACGGCUCUUCUUCCGGCCCCUCCAGCCCAGGUGGAAUCCUUGAAGCUGGAGUCAGGACUGCCGGGCUUGCGGAGACGUGGGCUCCCCAGGAAGUGCUGAGCCCAUGAUCAGAGCUGCACCCCCACAAGAAGUCACCAUGUGGAUCCCCAGAGGGGAUACUCCGGAAGUGCUUCCAUUCGGCCACCAGCAGCUGUGAUGUCCCCUGACCGUGCAUCCUGGGUCCCAGGGGAUGGUGGGUAGGGGAGCCAGGCGAGGAAGUGAGUCACAGCCCUGUGGGGUGAGCUCCCCGAGGGGAAGGGAUUGCGUAGAGUACUUGGGGGAAUUUGUGAGCCUUCAAGCUGGCCUCUGCUGCGACAGGGGCCAGCAGCCUCGUCCGCUCUGUAGUCCACUCCGGCUGCUCCCUGUAGCCAGGGGUGCGGCAUGGCAGGAACAGGCCACAGGGCAAGGGAGGAGUGUGGUGGGCUCAGAAGGCUCUGGGGAGAGGGUGCCUUGCUCCUGGUGCUGAAAGGACAGCGCCCGGCUUGGGCAGAGGCCGCGCCAAGUCCUGGCGGAAGCUUUUCCGCAAACUGGAGUGGGGCGUCAUGUGCAUCUGAAUUUUUCCACUCCUCUUCUCUGGAGCCUGUCAGUGCCGUCUUGGCAAAGAUGGUUUGAGCCUGAAAGCUUUUCCCAUCUAUUUUUAAAUAAAUGGAAUUCCUGUCACUUGCAUGAAAUUCAC